rnacentral:rRNA from 1 species
AUUGAACGCUGGCGGCAGGCCUAACACAUGCAAGUCGAACGAGUGGCGGACGGGUGAGUAAUGUCUGGGAAACUGCCUGAUGGAGGGGGAUAACUACUGGAAACGGUAGCUAAUACCGCCUACCCUCGUAUGUGCCCAGAUGGGAUUAGCUAGUAGGUGGGGUAAAGGCUCACCUAGGCGACGAUCCCUAGCUGGUCUGAGAGGAGGACCAGCCACACUGGAACGGAGACACGGUCCAGACUCCUACGGGAGGCAGCAGUGGGGAAUAGUGCACAAUGGGCGCAAGACUGAUGCAGACAUGCCGCGUGUAUGAAGAAGGCCUUCGGGUUGUAAAGUAAUGUCAGCGGGGAGGCGGUACCCGCAGAAGAAGCACCGGCUAAAUCCGUGCCAGCAGCCGCGGUAAUAC